UCAUGUUCUCUACAUAUUUCCUACUGUUUAAGCUGUCAGCUUUAAUCUAUCUGGUGUGUGGAAUUGAGCUUCACCAGACAGAUUCAGAGGUUGUUAAACCUGAUGGACCAUUUACUCUUACUUGUAAGGUAUCUGGAUAUUCUCUAACAGAUAACAGCUAUGCAACAGGUUGGAUUCGACAGUCUAAAGGAAAACCUCUGGAGUGGAUCGCUCACAUCUGGGGUGGUGGUAGCACUUAUCAGAAAGAUUCUUUAAAAAACAAGUUUAGUAUUGCUAAGGAUCCAUCCAGCAGUACAGUGAGUCUGCAUGGAAAGAGUCUGCAGGCUGAUGACACGGCGGUGUAUUACUGUGUCAAAAGGCACACAAUGUACAUAACACACAGACCUCAGUACAAAAACAGUCAGAGCAUUUGA